rnacentral:misc_RNA from 1 species
UUAAGUUCAGCGGGUAUCCCUACCUGAUCCGAGGUCAACCUGAAUAAAAGGUGGUUGUCGGCAGGCGCCGGCCAGGCCUUCAGAGCGGGUGACAAAGCCCCAUGCGCUCAAGGACCGGACGCGGUGCCGCCGCUGCCUUUCGGACCCGUCCCCGUGAGGGGACGGCGGCCCAACACACAAGCCGUGCUUGAGGGCAGCAA